rnacentral:lncRNA from 1 species
GAGCUAAGAGUCAGCUUAUCUAGAUUAGCUUGCUUCUAAGAUUGCUCUGACUCAAUUAUGCUCUCUUUAUUCUUCUCUUUAUUUUCACCCUUCCUUUUCUUACAAGUUAGCCGAGUUGAAUCCUUUUACGGGCUUUACAUCUCUUGAAUCCUUUUCUUACAAGUUACAAAUUUAUAACUUGUUAUAGAUUUUUUAAUAAAAUGUGUAGAAAUAACAUUUUAGUGGGAGAAAAGCUAUUUUAUAUAUUGAUUUAGCGUGUUUGGCAGUGUGGUUGCGGGUGCUUUUUAAAUAACUUUUCGUGUCAAAAUACAUGCCAAUGAUGUUUUUUUAUUUUUUAAAAAUCAUUUUUGACAUUAGCACAUCAAAACGAUCCAAAACGUACAAAUCAUAUUAAAUUUUAGUAAAAAAAAAUUAAAUUUUAGUAAAAUUAAAGAGUUUGUUUUAUAUUAAAACCCAAGAAUAUUGUAAUUAUAAAAAACAUUUAGAAUAUUUAAUAUUUACUUGUCAAAGUUUCACUUCUCAAAGGUGAUUACAACUAUAAGGAUGUAAUAAAAAAAUUAUAAUAAAUUUUUUAGGUUUUUUUUUAUAGGAAUAAAUUUUGUUUUAUUCACUUUGAAGAAUAAGAGGUUUUUUUCUAGUCUUUUAUUUUCUUAUUUUUGGAGAAAUAACAAAAUAUUCCUUAUAGGUAGAACUACUAACUUUAGAACAUCACCAAAAAUAGAGUUUGAAAUGAAACGAAACGAAGUGAUAUAUGAUGACACGUAAUUCACACGUGGUGGAGUAUAAGCGGUCCAGAAGCAACGCUCCUAGGUAGCAGCAAAUCUAUGUACCCCCACCCACAGACAGACGGACAUGUAAUAAGGAAAGGCCCAC